CUGAAGCACUGAAUACAAAUAUUCCUGGGCUCCUGUUUUCAAAUAGAUUAACCACGAAAAUUAGCUCCAUGGAAAUUAUUAAUUUGAUUAUAAUCUGUUUAUAAUCUGGGAGUUGGAGCAUUGUAACAUAGAGUAACUCUAAUUUAUAAUUCUCAGUUUUUUCCACCUGCAAGUAGUACUCACUAAUUCCCAACUAUAAUCAUGAGUGGACACUACUUUCAGGUAGAAAAAACUGAAAAUUGUGAAUUAGAGUUAUUUAAUCCUCUCUAACUUUUAUAUUGUGUUAGGUAAUGAGGCGCGCAUGGCUGUUACCCGUGUGAGCGUUCACCGCUAUGACAUCUUUCUCUCAUGUCUCUAAAAUGAUAUUCAAGUUUGAGAGACUCUUGUCAAUAAAUCUUUUCUUUUUUAGUUGAACAGGUAGUUAAGCCCCCCAAAAACAAGACGGAAAGUGAAAAUACUUCAGAUAAACCCAAAAGAAAGAAAAAGGGAGGCAAAAAUGGAAAAAAUAGAAGAAACAGAAAGAAGAAAAAUCCAUGUAAUGCAGAAUUUCAAAAUUUCUGCAUUCACGGAGAAUGCAAAUAUAUAGAGCACCUGGAAGCAGUAACAUGCAAAUGUCAGCAAGAAUAUUUCGGUGAACGGUGUGGGGAAAAGUCCAUGAAAACUCACAGCAUGAUUGACAGUAGUUUAUCCAAAAUUGCAUUAGCAGCCAUAGCUGCCUUUAUGUCUGCUGUGAUCCUCACAGCUAUUGCUGUUAUUACAGUCCA
rnacentral:sRNA from 1 species